GUCCACGGUUUCUGGAACCAUGAAAAAGGAGACAAUGAGAACUUAGCCAUCAUCCUCAGGGAAAAGUACGGCCGGAAGAAUUACCUCCUUGCUCCCAAGCAGACUCCAAGAGCAAGACUACCGCUAGGCUGAGCAGAAACAUGCACGGGGAACCCUGCCAGAUAGCCCGACGCCACCCGGCGUCUCUCGCAAAGGACGGAAGAUUUUUCAUCAAAUGGAGAGGGGACACAGAAGGCAAGACAGCCGGACCGGACGUAGAACAUACACACAAGAGACAAAUCCCCGAGCCCACUGAAAGCGUCGAGGGGAGAGCUACUGACAGCGCAGUUCUUGUUGUGGAAACAUCGGAGAAGAAGGAUCAAACAGCGUGUUU